rnacentral:lncRNA from 1 species
UCACAUUUCCUAUGACAAAGUGAUUGCUGAACCUCAGUUAUUCAUUCCAACGGUGUACAAUAAAAGAUUCAUCAGUUUAUAUCUGUUCAUAACAGCAAUCCCACUAAGGAGCCCGAUAUUUUUUGACACUUUGACUAAUCCUGUGGGAUUCAUCGAGCUGUAACGAACUAACAAGACUGAAUACGCAUUACAAUCGCAUCGAACACUCGCAGAAAACAGAAUAUACAUUAAGAAUUCGCUAUUCCAACAUGUAGAACGUCGCAGACCCUAAAGACGCCGCAUUUAGCUCAAUGGCAUCAAA